rnacentral:rRNA from 1 species
UUUCCUACGGGAGGCAGCAGUCGGGAAUAUUGCGCAAUGGAGGAAACUCUGACGCAGUGACGCCGCGUAUAGGAAGAAGGUUUUCGGAUUGUAAACUAUUGUCGAUAGGGAAGAAAAAAGACUGUACCUAUCAAGAAAGCUCCGGCUAACUACGUGCCAGCAGCCGCGGUAAUACGUAGGUGGCGAGCGUUAUCCGGAAUGAUUGGGCGUAAAGGGUGCGUAGGCGGCCUGCUAAGUCUGGAGUGAAAGGUACCGGCUCAACCGGUACAGGCUCUGGAAACUGGCGGGCU